rnacentral:rRNA from 1 species
UACGACUACAUAUCAGGCAUAUCAAUAAGCGGAGGAAAAGAAACUAACUAGGAUUCCCUCAGUAACGGCGAGUGAAGCGGGAAGAGCUCAAAUUUGAAAUCUUCAAGGUUCUACCUUGACGAAUUGUAGUUUAUAGAAGUGUUUUCUGUAGUGGAGUUCGGUAAAAGUUCUUUGGAAUAGGACAUCAUAGAGGGUGAGAAUCCCGUAUUUGACCGUUAUUCUCUAGCUGUGUGAUACACUUUCAAAGAGUCGGAUUGUUUGGGAAUGCAGUCCAAGAUGGGUGGUAAAUUUCAUCUAAAGCUAAAUAUUGGCGAGAGACCGAUAGCGAACAAGUACCGUGAGGGAAAGAUGAAAAGAUCUUUGAAAAGAGAGUUAAACAGUACGUGAAAUUGUCAAAAGGGAAGCGUUUGACACCAGUGUUGUUUUCUCGAAAAUCAAUUAAAAAUAAAUUUGAUUUUGUGUUGUAUUGACCUUAAAAGCUUUCUUCACUUUUUUCAUGUUUAUUUUUAAUGCACUUUUCGUUUAACAAGUCAACAUCAGUUUCUUUUGUUGUAAAAAGGUCAUUGGAAGGUGGCUUUCUUUUCGGAGAAAGUGUUUAUAGCCUUGUACUUCUGCAAUCGGAGAGACUGAGGUCUGCAGCGUAGAUCCUUUUUGGAUUAGAUUCAUUUGUGCUAAGUUAUAGCUUUUUAUAGACAACAUGUUGACUAUAUUUAGUCUUGUAGCUUACUCGCUUAUGUAAUUUUACCUACGCUUAGGAUGUUGAACGCGCACAGAGUCUC